CUGACUUUAGCUUGAAAGGUCCUCUGAGCUGAAGUGCACUUGAAGCACCUGAAUUGCUGUAUUUUUCAGCGUUUGGCGUGCUGAUGGUUCACACCAAAUUCCCUUAAAAUAAUUUCCUGUCUGCUUGGAAAAAGAAUGAAGUUGCCUCUGUGCUGCUGUGCUUUGCUGGUUCUCGUCCUCACAACCAGCUUCUGUCAUGGAGGCAACAUCUUGGUUUUUCCUGCAGAGGGCAGCCAUUGGAUCAACAUGGACAUCCUACUUCAAGCUUUACACUCCAGAGGACACAGCUUGACCGUUCUGCGCUCAAGCAAGAGUUGGUACAUCAAGGAGCACGCGCCCCAUUACAAGAGUUUCACCGUCCCAGUGGAGAGGAGCAUGGAUCAAAAGUUAAUUACUGAAUUUAUAACUGAGUUUAUUCACUUUCAGCGUGGGGCUCUCCCUAUAACAAGCUUCCUGCAUAUGAGCCUAGGUAUGAUUGGUAAAUUAAGAGAAGCUCACGAACCUGUGGGUGAAUUUGUGACAGCUGCAAUGAAUGACAAAGCUUUGAUGAAAACUUUAAAUGAGAGCAAGUUUGACGUGAUGCUUACUGACCCAUGCUGGGGGGGCGGAGUCAUUCUGGCUAAAUAUUUAAAUCUUCCUUUGGUUUUUAAUGUUCGCUGGUUAGUACCCGAAGAGGCUCAUUUUGCCAUCGCUCCGUCACCUUUAUCCUAUGUCCCAAUAGUAGGAUCAGGAAAUACUGAUAGAAUGAACUUCUUUCAAAGAGUUAAAAACAUGUUUUUGUACCUUGUAACACAACUGCAAAGCUACACAGCCGUUAAUUAUGUUUACCAGCCAAUAUGUGACAAGUUCCUCGGUCCUGAUCAUGACUUUAAUCGUUUGGUUCUUGAUGCAGACAUUUGGUUGAUGAGAACAGAUUUUGUGUUUGACUAUCCACGCCCCACAAUGCCCAAUGUUGUGUACAUGGGAGGGUUUCAGUGUAAACCUGCUAAACCCCUUCCUGAACAUUUGGAGGAGUUUGUACAGAGUUCUGGAGAACAUGGAGUCAUCAUCAUGUCUCUGGGAACAUUUGUCAGUGAACUUCCUGAUGACUUGGCAAAUGAGAUCGCUGCAGCUUUUGCUAAACUGCCACAGAAAGUAAUCUGGAGGUACAAAGGCAAAAGACCUGCCUCUUUAGGCAACAACACUUUAGUCGUGGACUGGAUGCCUCAGAAUGACCUUCUAGGACAUCCAAAGAUCAAGCUGUUUGUGGCUCAUGGAGGAACUAAUGGAGUCCAAGAGACUUUGUACCACGGAGUCCCAGUUGUGGGUCUGCCUUUGUUUUUUGACCAAUAUGACAACCUUCUCCGUCUACAAGCAAGAGAUGGAGCUAUAGUUCUGUCAAUAACCACAGUGGACAAAGAUGACAGCUUCCUUAAGGCCAUACAGGAAGUCCUGACUGAACCCUCCUACAGGAUGAACAUGCAGAGACUCUCCAGGCUGCACAGAGAUCAGCCAGUGAAGCCGAUGGACAAAGCUCUCUUCUGGAUAGAGUUUGUCAUGAGACACAAAGGUGCUGCUCACCUGAAAGCUCAGUCCUCCAACAUGUCAUGGUUCUCCUACCACUCUGCGGAUGUGGUUCUGUUCCUGACUGCAGCGGUGCUGCUCGUGUUUCUGACCUCCUUCGUGUUCAUCAGGUGUUUAUUCAGAGCUGUUUGUAAAUGUAAAGUGAAACACGAAUAGAAUUUAGAUUUGAACAAUAAAAGUAAUUAAUAAUUAGCUCGUGA